rnacentral:rRNA from 1 species
GACGUAGGGCGCGAGCGUUUGUCCGGAAUUAUUGGGCGUAAAGAGCUCGUAGGCGGUCUGUCGCGUCGAAUGUGAAAACCCGGGGCUCAACUCCGGGCUUGCAUUCGAUACGGGCAGGCUAGAGUUCGGUAGGGGAGUCUGGAAUUCCUGGUGUAGCGGUGAAAUGCGCAGAUAUCAGGAGGAACACCGGAGUCGGAAGGCGGGCUCUGGGCCGAUACUGACGUGAGGAGCGAAAGCGUGGGGAGCGAACAGGAUUAGAACC